CUUCAGGAAGACAACGGAUUAUUAAAAUGCCCCAAGUUGUAUCACACAGUCCUACUUAUAAAUAUAAACAAUGAUUUAUAUCUCCUGUAGGUACCUCUGUCACACCAGAGGGAUAUGUUCCUGGAAAGGAAACAGGUCAGGGUGAUUUAAAGCCCUAUUCCCCCCUUGCCUCAGUGAAAGGGUAUUCCAGCAGCAACCUAUCCAACAUGCGGGCCUGGAAAAUGAAAUGAUAGGAAGGUGAUCAUUUUCCAUUCUCUACAGAAACAGUGUCCACAUGAGAGGGCUUCCAGUGCUUUAGGGCUACAUUGAUGCUUCCAAGAUUAAUCGGAGACAAAAUGCUCUGUUGCUUUAUUUCCUUCCCCCCAAUUUUUUUUUUUUUUUUUUGGCAUUUUAGGUACCACUGGAGAAUUUUCUGGAACGACCAUUAUAUCUGGAAGUUCUAACACAGGUAGCUUAACAAGAAGUAAAUUCUUAUUUAAUGUCAGCUGUCAUAUUUCUUUUAUGGCUUCUAUGGUAAAGUAAUAUCCCAAUAUCUUCUUCCAGUAUUCUAAAUUCCCAGCCUUUUUCAUUCUCCUCUUUCUUCCAUCAGAGGCCACCACUUCCACAGAAGGGACAGGUACUUCUGGAACUGGAUUCAAAAUUGGUGAGAAGAAGCAACUCAUGAUUUGGCAUCAUAAUUAUUAGGUCCCUCAAGCUUUUCUUGAGAGAGUUUGUGUUUAUUUUAUUUAGGGACAAUGCAAGUGAUUCAAAAUAGAUUUGCUGGUGGAGAUACAUUUUUUUUAAAUCUACUAAUUUUAAAAUGGAGCAUUACUGUUCCAUUUCCGAGGAUGGGAUGGAAUUUCUCCAUUUGUGUUACAACUAUUGCUAGCAGUUUAGGUGGAAUUCAGAAAGUUUUCAGUGUGUGUAUGUGAAACAGAAAAGAGCCCCAUGGACCCAGGACACAUGCAUUUAUAAGUGUAUAUGUGAACAAAAAUGCCGGCUCAGUAUUUUCUUUCUUAUGUCUCAAGUUUUAAUACAUUUAAACCCUUUUUUCCCUCUUCUUUCUACCUCACAGCAGGCAUCACUUCUGCCCCAGGGAAACAAGCAGGCACCUCUGGGGUAUCUCUUGCCACAACAGUUGCCCCUGGAAGUUUCAGCACAGCAGCUACAACUUCUCCUGGAGCAAGUGGAGUGACUGGCACUGGACCCACUGCAGAGACCACAACUUUCCUAGGAGGAAGUAGCACCACUGGAGCAGAAAUAAAAUCAGGAGCCACCACUGGAGCACCAGGAAGUAAGACAGGUAAAUUUGGAGAAAGCCUUCUAUAUGACCUUCAAUCUUGGCAAAAAUGA
rnacentral:lncRNA from 1 species